rnacentral:tRNA from 1 species
ACCGAAAUACUUAGUUGGGAGAGUGUUAGACUAUAGAUCGAAAGGUCUCUGGUUCGAUCCCAGGUUCCGGCA